AUUAUGCAGCAUUAUUCACAUGCGAAUAAUAUAAAUACAGUCUAUUAUACAGCAUUAUUCACAUGUGAAUAAUAUAGUGUAUUAUACAGCAUUAUUCACAUGUGAAUAAUAUAAAUACAGUCUAUUAUACAGCAUUAUUCACAUGUGAAUAAUAUAAAUCAUCUAUUAUACAGCAUUAUUCACAUGUGAAUAAUAUAAAUACAGUCUAUUAUACAGCAUUAUUCACAUGUGAAUAAUAUAAAUACAGUCUAUUAUACAGCAUUAUUCACAUGUGAAUAAUAUAAAUACAGUAUUAUACAGCAUUAAACACAUUUAUGAUGUCAUUUUUGUAUAUGUAAAGCAUGUUGGGAGGCAUGGGACUUUACUCGACCUUGAAUGGGAGCAAUCAAUUCUACCUCUAAAUCACUUAAAAAAAUGCUUUCAAAAACCGUCAACAAUACUUCAUUUACGUUCCGUCACCUGUACAAUAACCAAGCUGUAGCAACAUUGUUAUUGUAAGAGCGAACACUGAGGAACUCUUUUUCUAGCUUAAUAACACAUCGGCGUGCCGUAAAAAUCUAACUACGGCGAGAAAUAAGCCCGCUACUACGUCAGCACCUGAAUUGAGUUUGAGUUUAUAAUGCACAACACAAUGCGAUGGGACACCCAAUCUGUACUGACUGAAACACAUGAACAAUCAUAUUAACCCACAUUUCAUGUUUUGUUUGUACACGAUGACGUAAUGUGUGUAUCAUGAGCAGUAUUUAAAGUGCGACUCACCCGAUGGUUCGUUUGGUCCAGCUGGCCAGGGAUGUGUUUUUUCCCGGUUUAUUUGGGUAAGCACUCCAUUUAUGUCAAAAUAGCUUGGCUCCAAGUUGUGUGAAGUGAAUUAUACUUAUAUAGCGCUUUUCUCUUUGCAUAGUGAAACCCAAUAUCUAAGUUGCAUUUAAACCAGUGUCUUUUCACAUUUAUAACGUCGUCCCUUUCACCUCACUCUCUCAGCUUCCGUCCGCGCCAACGUUUCACUCUUCUAGAAGCAGUAGUUCAUCCUCUGUAUAUUCACCUUCAAAAAAUAUAAGUUAGUCCAAAACUAGUCGUCUCCGUUGUCCGAUUAGAACACAACACACAUUUGUUGCCGGAAGUCGGAAGUGCGUUGCUAUGGAAACGGAAUGCAUAAAAUGACCAAAAUACGAACAUAUAUGAACAUAUUACGUAUUGUUAUGGAUGUGUGUGUUACUACAUUAUAUAUAAACUUGCAGUGUGUAUAUAAAAUGUUGAUGGAGUUGUUUUAAAGGGCUUUGAAGGCUACAACAUUUUUAAUCAUCUUUAAAAUCCUAAUUUAAAAAAAAAAAAGUGUGUUCUUGUCUCUCAUAAUGAUUGUGAACGAUAGGCAAAAUAAAAAUGAAAAAGUGCAGUCCCUUUUAAGUCUUGCUGACUACAACAAAAUAAUAAAAGUUGCUGAUGCCUCACACCAGAGGGGCCGGGGUCAAAAUUUGGCUGCGGACUUUUAGGAUUUUCAGGUCCAGACUGGCUCACAAGAUCACCUUCAAUCAGUAUGUGGACAUGGACCAGCAUUGUGACCCCACUUGAAGACUUUUACUUAUAUAGUGGUGAGUCACUUCAAAAUGUUCCAUUUCCUUGACGACUCUUCACUUUAAACAUAUUUUCUUAUUCUCUCGAGUCGAAUAACUCAAGUAAACCCUGACUACGGACUGGAGUAUCCGCACAAAGACCAUUCUGGUGAGCCACUGAUUGACACAUGCAAGGUGUUCCAGGUCCAAAUCGUCACAAUCGCAGAGUUUCCCGAGGAAAGGCAGCCUGGACACGUUUCACCAAAGUGGUCAAAUCAAUACACUACAUCACAGCACGUCUCACUCCCUUCCACGCGUCUCCACUCUCAUCUCAGCAUCCCGUCUGCUAAAUCAGGGAUUAAAGCAAGAUUACGAUCGCUGCCUCCCUCGCUGUGAACCCGUCCGGUUACGCCGCGAGUGAAACGACUUCAAUCCACCUCGGGUGUGCGACGGGACAAUUAAAAAGGAACCCUGAGCUGACAACAUUCAGCAGAGGUGCAUUGAUGCCGCAGCAGAGCUGAAGUGCGACUCCUCGAGAUUAAUAGCCCGGCUUUAGCGCAGACACUCUCAGGGAGCUCGGCACGCCGUUAGACCGGGCCAAUUAGUGCACGGAGAACAAUAGCCAAUUAGGGCUAAUUACGCAGCAAAACUGUUAUUGUUUCAAGCUGCAAGCUAGUCUGAAAGACUGUAUUCUGCUGGAUGUGUUCAAAUACAAAGUUUCAUCCUCGUAAUCGACAGCUUUUGGGCAAUAAUCAGGGUCCUUGCACAAGAAUACGACUUAUCUCUUUUAAAUGUGACUUUAGUCUACUUCUGUUUUGUUUGAUCAGCCGUUUUACUGCUGUGUUACAGCACAUUAUAGACCAAAAUUUUGGACACACCUUCUCAAUCAAUGUGUGUUCUUUAUUUUCAUGACUAUUUACAUUGUAGAUUGUCACUGAAGGCAUCAAAACUACAAAUGAACACAUGUGGAGUUAUGUACUUAACAAAAAAAAAAGGUGAAAUAACUGAAAACAUGUUUUAUAUUCUAGUUUCUUCAAAAAUAGCCACCCUUUGCUCUGAUUACUGCUUUGCACACUCUUGGCAUUCUCUCCAUGAGCUUCAAGCGGUAGUCACCUGAAAUGGUUUU